rnacentral:miRNA from 1 species
AAAGCAGCUGUACCAUUUAC